CAAUAGCGUAUAUUUAAGUUGUUGCAGUUAAAAAGCUCGUAGUUGGAUUUCGGGUGGGACGCAGCGGUCUCGCAUUGCGUUUGUACUGCUGCAGCCCUCCUUCUUGCCGGGGGCGGCCUCUCGGACUUCACUGUCUGGGGGUCAGAAUCGGCGAUGUUACUUUGAGUAAAUUAGAGUGUUCAAAGCAAGCUUACGCUCUGAAUAUAAUAGCAUGGGAUAACGCGACAGGACUCUGGCCUAUCGUGUUGGUCUAUAGGACCAGAGUAAUGAUUAAGAGGGACAGUCGGGGGCAUUCGUAUUCCGUUGUCAGAGGUGAAAUUCUUGGAUUUACGGAAGACGAACAUCUGCGAAAGCAUUUGCCAAGGAUGUUUNCAUUG
rnacentral:rRNA from 1 species